GUUUGUUGAAGGAUCAUUUGAGAAGUACCUGGAGCGUCUGGAGGACCCCAAGGAGACGGUGGGUCAGGUGGAGAUCAAGGCUCUGUCACAGCUCUACAGGCGGUGUUUCCUGAUCUACCGUUACCCGGGGAAAGCAGCCACGGUGAUCUCAGAGGACGACUUUAUCGACAAGGUGAAGAAUGAUAAUCAGGUGA